CCUGACUCCAUUCCGAACUCAGAAGUGAAACGAAAUAGCGCCGAUGGUAGUGUGGGGUUUCCCCAUGUGAGAGUAGGACAUCGCCAGGU
rnacentral:rRNA from 1 species